AUGCGUGCUUCCGAUCUGGCUAGGGAGACCCCUUUUAGUUUCCUAGCAUCUCCUUAUAAAGCAUUGGGUGAGAUUGUGAAAGUUAGUGACACCCGGGACUUACAAGUUUGGGAGGCUCUUAUGGGCUUGAUGUCUCGUAUCAUGAGGAGAUUCAACACUGUGCUUCAUGGUCAUGGUGCAAUUUCAUCUCUUCAGAGGAAGAACCAACUUGAGGUCUUGCUGUGUGGUCUAGUUGAAGUCUUAAUCCACAAGCUUGGAGAUACACUUGAGGGGUCUGCUAAAUGUUUGUUGCUGUUAUUGUGCCCUCUCUUAACCCGUGAGAGUACAUGUGCACGUAAUGGAGCAGCCCUUGCCAUUGGUGCUCUUGCUCAUGCCAUUGGUGCUGAUUUUGGACAACACAUGCCUAUGGUGCUACAAUAUUUCAGUGUGAAGCGACUCUCUCCACUUUAUUUAGAAGUUAUAUGUGAUAUAUGCCAUGUCUUGGGAAAAGAGGGAAAAGAGGAAGAAGUUGUGCCGUGCUUUGAUCAUAUUAUGGAAGUUCUGUAUCAAGGUAUGGUAGAAUUGACACUUCAACCUCUAAUUCUAUCAAGCAUUGGACAGAUUGCUCUUUCUCUUGGUGAAAAGUUUGAGAAGUACCUGCCUCCAGUUAUGGAAAAGCUUUUAGUUAUGGAAAAGGCUGUUCAACUCGAUCAGGAUCCUCAUGAGGAUCAUAGUAACAAGGUUAGAGAGGCAAUAUGUAAGGCCUACCAUGGCAUAAUAAGGGGAAUAAGUGAUGCAAAGUCUGGAUUCAAGGUAGGAAUGGCUCUACUUGAAUUCAGUGAACAGGAGAGAAAGAGAAGGUAA
rnacentral:rRNA from 1 species